rnacentral:rRNA from 1 species
GAUGAACGCUAGCGGCAGGCCUAACACAUGCAAGUCGAGGGAGGAGCUUUCGGGCUUCGACCGGCGUACGGGUGCGUAACGCGUAUACAAUCUGCCUUUCACAUAGGGAUAGCCCGAAGAAAUUUGGAUUAAUACCUAAUGGUAUAUAGAGGUGGUAUCACCUUUAUAUUAAAGCUGAGGCGGUGAAAGAUGAGUAUGCGUUCUAUUAGCUAGUUGGAGAGGUAACGGCUCCCCAAGGCGACGAUAGAUAGGGGUUCUGAGAGGGAUAUCCCCCACACUGGUACUGAGAUACGGACCAGACUCCUACGGGAGGCAGCAGUGAGGAAUAUUGGACAAUGGUCGGAAGACUGAUCCAGCCAUGCCGCGUGCAGGAAGACGGCCUUAUGGGUGGUAAACUGCUUUUGCAGGGGAAGAAUAAGGACUACGCGUAGUUUGAUGACGGUACUCUGCGAAUAAGCAUCGGCUAACUCCGUG